CCCUGGGCAGAGGAGAAAGGCCGUGACCGCAAAGGAAAACCCAAAAAACCCAGUGGGAAGAAGUGGGACCCAGAUGAGGACGAGCGGGCUCCUCCGGAGGAGAAGACGAAGUGUCCCCCCAUCGGGCUGGAGUCCCACCGCAUCGAGGACGAGCAGCUCCUGGCCUCGUCCAUGCUGCGCCACGGCCUGGGCGCCCAGCGCGGGCGCCUCAACAUG